CCAGUUGGCAGCAGACUGUUCCUCC
rnacentral:piRNA from 1 species